rnacentral:rRNA from 1 species
UACGGAGGGGGCUAGCGUUAUUCGGAAUUACUGGGCGUAAAGCGCACGUAGGCGGAUUGACAAGUCAGAGGUGAAAUCCCGGGGCUCAACCCCGGAACGGCCUUUGAAACUGUUUGUCUUGAGGUCGAGAGAGGUGAGUGGAAUUCCGAGUGUAGAGGUGAAAUUCGUAGAUAUUCGGAGGAACACCAGUGGCGAAGGCGGCUCACUGGCUCGAUACUGACGCUGAGGUGCGAAAGCGUGGGGAGCAAACAGG